rnacentral:rRNA from 1 species
UCGAACGCUUCUUUUUCCACCGGAGCUUGCUCCACCGGARAAAGAGGAGUGGCGAACGGGUGAGUAACACGUGGGUAACCUGCCCAUCAGAAGGGGAUAACACUUGGAAACAGGUGCUAAUACCGUAUAACAAUCRAAACCGCAUGGUUUUGAUUUGAAAGGCGCUUUCGGGUGUCGCUGAUGGAUGGACCCGCGGUGCAUUAGCUAGUUGGUGAGGUAACGGCUCACCAAGGCCACGAUGCAUAGCCGACCUGAGAGGGUGAUCGGCCACAUUGGGACUGAGACACGGCCCAAACUCCUACGGGAGGCAGCAGUAGGGAAUCUUCGGCAAUGGACGAAAGUCUGACCGAGCAACGCCGCGUGAGUGAAGAAGGUUUUCGGAUCGUAAAACUCUGUUGUUAGAGAAGAACAAGGAUGAGAGUAACUGUUCAUCCCUUGACGGUAUCUAACCAGAAAGCCACGGCUAACUACGUGCCAGCAGCCGCGGUAAUACGUAGGUGGCAAGCGUUGUCCGGAUUUAUUGGGCGUAAAGCGAGCGCAGGCGGUUUCUUAAGUCUGAUGUGAAAGCCCCCGGCUCAACCGGGGAGGGUCAUUGGAAACUGGGAGACUUGAGUGCAGAAGAGGAGAGUGGAAUUCCAUGUGUAGCGGUGAAAUGCGUAGAUAUAUGGAGGAACACCAGUGGCGAAGGCGGCUCUCUGGUCUGUAACUGACGCUGAGGCUCGAAAGCGUGGGGAGCAAACAGGAUUAGAUACCCUGGUAGUCCACGCCGUAAACGAUGAGUGCUAAGUGUUGGAGGGUUUCCGCCCUUCAGUGCUGCAGCUAACGCAUUAAGCACUCCGCCUGGGGAGUACGACCGCAAGGUUGAAACUCAAAGGAAUUGACGGGGGCCCGCACAAGCGGUGGAGCAUGUGGUUUAAUUCGAAGCAACGCGAAGAACCUUACCAGGUCUUGACAUCCUUUGACCACUCUAGAGAUAGAGCUUCCCCUUCGGGGGCAAAGUGACAGGUGGUGCAUGGUUGUCGUCAGCUCGUGUCGUGAGAUGUUGGGUUAAGUCCCGCAACGAGCGCAACCCUUAUUGUUAGUUGCCAUCAUUCAGUUGGGCACU